rfam:Trachymyrmex cornetzi contig42473, whole genome shotgun sequence.
CAAUCGGCCCUUUUCAGGGCCAACAAAACACUCUGUAAAUACGUCU